rnacentral:lncRNA from 1 species
UUUUUUUUUUUUUUUUUGGGUUUUUUCAUACAAGAAUCUUGAAUGUAUCACUAUGAGAUUUUAGGAACAUUAUGGGUGGUACAAUAAUCUCAACAGGUUAAAAAGCAUCUUCAAGAACUUUUCUUUGAGGAGAAAAACUUAUUGGAAUUGAAUCAGUAAGUUCUCCUUUUGCAUAGGUUUUAUCAUCAGCUAGCACACCUUUUGUAACUAUUCAUCAUGUUUCUUGAAUUAGAUCAUUGAUCAAGAUUCCAUUAGGAAACAUGUAAACAAUUUUAAAUUUUCAAUAAUUAGUUGUAUGAACUUGAAUAAUGCUCACAUUGUUAAGAAAUAGUUUGCUACCGCAAUUAGCGGACCACUGCAACAGAUUCCUUGCAUUGGACCAUCUCAGAUGUGUGGGAAUCCAAAAAAAUUAUUGUCGGGAGCCAUGAAUUUUAUAAUUAUCGAUCUCCUCCUCUUUUGUUAGCCCUCUGCAACCUAAUGAAUGGUGUUCAGAUUCACUGACUAUUCAGACUCUUUGGCAAUAUGCUGAUCUAAAAUUGUUUAAUACAGCCUCAUAUUCAUUCAUGCACUAGUUCAUGUUGUACUUUCCUUCAGCCCAAAACCAACCAUUUAUAUGUACAUUGACAGGGGGAAAAUAUGACAAAAUAAAAAAAAAAUUCCAAAAGAAAAAAUGAAAAAUAUUUUUCAAGUGAACAUCUUCUGAUGUGUGUCAUUUUUAAAGAUGUAAAUGACUAUUAAGACGAAGUGAAAUGAGGGAGAGUUUUAAAGAAGUGAUCUAGAAAACUCAGAGACCUUGAUUCCUCAAUUCUAAUUUUACACUUGUUCAAAUCAAUAAAUAAACUUGUAACGAGUUUAAAUAGACUCACAAACUUAAAAUCGUUUCUACCUAUAGACGUUUAAAUAUGGAGGUUCUGAUGUCAAGUCUUCUUGGUGAUCAGAUCCCUAUUUCGUACAACUCCAAGAGCUCGAUCCUUCCCAUUCUCAUUUCCUCCUGGUGGAACUUAAUUUUCAAGACGUUAAGAUGGGUUUUUUCACAUGAAGACUUUUAGCUAAAUUAUGCCCUUUUUAGUUUAAGGUAGAAGAUGUUUUGAGAUUGGCUUGAUAGACUUUGGCUCUUUCUUUUAAUUAUUUUGAGCUGAAAAAACUUCCUGUGAGAAACAACCAGCAAUAUGCUUUUGAAUAUUGCUUUUACCAUGUCAAAACAUACUAAAUCAAACUUUAAAAAAAAUUCUAAAGGUAUAUGUAUUAAUCUCUCCUACAUAGUGUAAUAAACUUUUUACAUUAAUUGCAACUAUGGAUGUAUGAUAUAUAUAACUUCAAUUAAGUUUGAAUUUUACUUUUUACACAUAUACCAUACAUCUAUAAUGGUUACUAUAAAAAAAAAACAAAAGAAAAUAUUUAUGUAACUACAAUGUAGGACAUGUUAAUCCAAUACAAAUAUGAUUUUUUUAAAAAUAGAUUCUCAGUAAUUAGCUCGUUCAUAAUCAACUUAACUAAAGUAAAACCUAUUGUAAAUAAGCAAUUAUCUCCCAUUGCACGUGCAAUUAAGGUAGGGUAUAUUUCACUUUUAACCCUUAAAAUGUAAACAUAUACUCACUCUAGUUCUUAAAUUUUAAUUUUUGACACUUUAUCCUCUAGAAUAUAAAAUUCAUCCAACUUUAGUCUUUAAACUUCACUUUUAGAUACUUUAUCUCUUAAAGUAUAAAAUCCAUCUUACUUUAGUACUUAAAUUUUAAACUUCACUUGCUCACUAUUCGGUAGAAUAGAUUUCAUUUUCAUGCUUUAGAGAGUAAAGUAUUGUAAAUUAAAGUUCAAAAACCAAAGUAGGAUGAAUUUUAUACUUCAAUGAAUAAAGUAUCCAAAAUUUAAAUUUAAAUACUAAAGUGAAAGUGUGGCUAUAAUUAAGGGUUCAAAGUGAAGUUUAGCCAAUUAGGGUAAGAAAUAUCCUUACACCUGAAGGGAUCGCAACUUGUAUUAAGGAAUACACCAUCGUGGACAAAAAAACACGUUUUAUGGCCUUAACAAAUUUUUUUAAUUAACUUUGAACACGUUUUAUUUCCCCAGAGCUUCUGGUACAAUAUAUAUAGUGAUAUUUUGCACUAGUAAUUUCUUUAAGAGUGGAUGAUGAGAAAGCCAGAGACUAAGACAGAAUCAGCAACAUGGUAAGAUCCUCAAGAAUUGACAAAAACGGAUUAAAGGAAGGUGCAUGGAAUGAAGAAGAAGACAAUAAGUUAAGGGCCUACGUUCUGAGAUAUGGCCAUUGGAAUUGGCGCCAGCUGCCUAAGUUCGCUGGUCAGGAUUACUCGAACUGAGGCUAUAACUUCUUUCUAGUCCUCCUCCUCCUCCUCCUUUUCUGCCUGGCCGCUACCACCAACUUCUCUUUCUCUUCCAAAUUUUUUCAAGUGAUAUUUCUCCUUCUAACACUCCUAAUUUUUUCAAGUGACUUGAAAAGCACACAAAAGAGAAACGUAGUAGUCAAAUUUUUCUGGUACUUAAAAAAAAUAGACUAAUCCCAAAAAAGGAGUGAUAUACUACAAGUAAUAGUCUAUUUACGAGAGUAGAUCACGUUGUGUCGACCCACGUUAAAUCUUAUGGAGGCGAAUCACGUUAAAUUUUAUGUGUCAUUUAUCUUUCAUGCUUGUGACUUAUUUGUCAUUAAAUUAUUGUGUUCUUGAUGUCUCAAUAGUAGUUUAUUCCGCGCUUGGAUUCCAACAAACUGAUAUUAGAGCGGGGUUAGUAGUUGGAUCCUGGUUGACUAUUGAGAUCAAGUGGGUUGGUAACUGUUACUAAUUGAACAAUUUAAUGAGUAGUAUCCUUAUUUCAAGGGUUUGACAAGAAGCAUUGAAAGUAAAGGAUGAGAAGUUAGACAGUAUAGAGAUACUUAACGUACGGUGAAUCUAGGUAAGUGAUUCAAAAGUCAAGAAAAAGGUGAAAUCCAUUAUCCAUUUUGGACAUGAACCGAUGGAGACAUUCUCAUAACUUCAACGGUUGAUAUUUCAUGUCGGAUGGUUCUUAGAUUCGAAUUAUAUUUUUUUUGGUGGUGUGGCAUGUGUUCUAAAGAAAUAAAGGGAUCUAAUUUCCAAACGAAGAAGACUUUGAUAGUUAUGAGUUUUAUAUUGUAGGUGGAGUCUUAGAAACUACACAUUGCAAAACAGUCUUGAGAAUAGGAAGAAGUAUGGUAAUUUUACCACUUAAUUGAUUCAAUGAUUAGAGUUAAAGCUCACAAAAAGGGAUCUCGAGUUACAAUUAGUAGUGACAAUAAAUCUUACGAAGGGAGAUGGUGAAUUAAAAUACCUUCUUAUGAGUCAACUGGAUGUUGAAUUUAGGGUAACUGCACAUGCUUAUGUGCCGAUUGAAUCAAUUGAAUAUCAGGAGGGUGUUGAUUUAGAUGUAUAGUUUGGUACCAUAUUAUUUGGUAGUUAAAAGCAAGUGGUUGCUAAAAGAAAUAUUUGUCAACGUGGAAAUUUGUUAGGAAAUUAAUUUAAUUUCUUUUAUGCAAAUUUCUUGUUUUAUGUGCAAGUAAUUGGUUUCCUAAUUAUUUAGUUAUUUGAAGUAGUUGCCAAGUUAUUUUCUAUUUUGUUUAUGAUUUAGAAGUUAUUUUGUAAGGCCCGAAAACAACCAAUGAGACAAACAUAAACAAUGGAAAGAUCACAAAUGUAACAGUAAGUAAAUAAAAGGAAAGGAUUGCAAACCAAUUAACUACCCAACUCCUCUUGAGCUUGUAGAUUAAUUGAAACAAGCUAUUUCAAGUUGAUGAAUUACAAUCACUCUUGUGUACAAAGGAAGGUUCACCUCCUCCUUGCCCCAAGCAGCACUCGGUCAAGCCAGGACGUUUUACUAUCCCUCAGGACAACCCUCACAGAGCUACACUCAUGAAAAAUUCACUCACAAAUGAAAAGCUUACAAUGAACCUCACACCACUAAGACUACAAAUAUUCUUUUUGGAGUAUUUUCUCACUAAAAUCUCUCUAGAUCUUUUGUAUCUUCAGUGUGCCAAAGUUGCUUUCUCGUUCAGAAUCGUUUGUAUUUGAAGGGGACCAAAAAUGGGCUUCAUUAAUGCUUCCAACGGAUAGAAGGCAGAUGAAGAGUCAGCUAGCCGUUGGGGACGUCGGACGUCCGACAGAUUAAUCACCGUCCGAUCCCAUCGUCCGAAAAUCAGCCAAGUUGUCGUUCGGACGUCCGAUGGUAUUUUAUCGUCCGAGCUUCUGUGUCCGAACGUCGUCCAGAGAGUUAUCAAAUCUUCGUGGAAUUUUUAGGACGUCCGAUGAGAUUGAUGUGCGUCCGAAGCAUGCGUCCGAUCCUUCAGGACGUCCGAUGCUUCCUUACGAGCGUCCGACAGAGUUUCCUUCUUGAUGUUCUUCAUCCUUUCGGACGUCCGAUCCUAACUAUUUGAGCGUCCGACAGCUUCAGCAUACUUAGUCCCCUUUCAAUUGCACUUGUUCAUGGAAUCAAACAACUUCAAAACUGAAAGUAUAUCUUGAAGAAAUAUUAGUAUCAUCCAUUUGUUUUGUAAAUAUCAAAAGAUAGGGAUCAAGAUCAACAUAUUUCUUAUUCUGUAAAAAUCUAGGAAUUAGCAUUGAUUUCUUAUUGUUAUUUGGUUUUUGGCCAAAUAAUAUUCUCUAUAAAUAGGUGGGUUGACAUGCUUUAAAGUACCACACAAGAACACACAAGGGUGACAUGUAGUUUUAUGUACGGGGUAUGAGAAAUGAUUCUUGGGAGAUGAAAAAUGGUAUACAAGGGUUAGAUUUCGAUUUAAAUUGUAUUUUUGUAUAAGGUUUCCCUUUCAUAAUAAAAAACAUGUUUUCUCUCUUUGGACGUAACAUCAAUGAUGGAGUCGAACCACGUUAAAUCUUGUGUGUCGUUUAUUAUUCAUAUUUGUGGCUUGUUUGUCAUUAAAUUAUUGUGUACUUGAUUUCUUAAUAGUAAUUUAUUCCGAGCUUGGAUCCCAACAAGAUCUAAUCAUCAAACUACAUGAACAAUUCGGGAAUAGGUAUGAUUUUUUACGAACAUUACUUUAGUAAUUCUUGCCGUGCUUUAGGGCUAAAAAGAUGUUUAGGUCAUACUAAUUACUCACUGUAGUGAUGUUUUUCCUACUACAGAUGGUCAGCCAUUGCUUGGAAGCUACCAGGAAGAACAGAUAAUGAAGUCAAAAUUUAUUGGCAUGGUCGUCUUAGUAAACGCUUGAAUCAAGCUCAUACAUUAACUGAAAUCAUCAUGGAAAAAACUAGUGAAAAAUCACAGCAUGUGGUGCAAGGUGAUCAUCAACUCAAGCAAUCUCCGGCAAUGUCUGCUUAUGAUUCCAACCAAAAGAGAGAAAUGGGGCCUAAUAUUGCCGCUGCAGCUGCACCUCUUGCUUGCAGUGAAUUGUGCUCCAUUAGAAGCUCUGAUUCCACACUUUCUGAUAGCAACAUUUCAGUGGACUAUCCAUUUACUGAACCCUUUGAGAGUUAUUGGACGCAGCCCUUUGACUUGGAUACUUCAAAUAAAGAUAAUGUUCAUUGGUUAAUUACCGCCACUGGAGGAAGAAUUUGCCUACUUUUUCUGGUCUUUUGUUCAUGAUGGUGUGGAUUGGUUCCAAGAAUAGAUAAUACUACAUAGCAGUAUCUCAAAGAUUGUCACUUUUAGCUUGGUACGGCCAUUCAAAAAACUUUUUUUGAGGGUAAUUAUUCCAAAUUUUUGUAGUGUACUACAAAUAAGAUACAAAUCUUCGAGUUUGAUGAACGUUGUAUUUGGAAAUAAAAGGCAGUAUGCAUGUGUAAUUUGUUGAGAGUGGGACGAGAAUAUAUGGAUUUCUAGAAUCAACAAGCGUAACAUUGUUAAUGAGACAAAAAUCCUAUGAUACCAUGAUGCUAGAAGUAUUACUCUUUAGUGAUAGACUACUACCUUUGUCACAGACUUAUUUGAUUUGAUAAGAAACUUGAAGGACUAAAUUUCUUUUUUGUUUUGGAAGGAAUGAAGGACUAAAAUUUAAUGCAAUGUUAUAGUACUUUUUUUCGAAAAACAUGUGAUGUUAUAAUACCAAGUACUGAAUUCGAAAAGUCAAAGUCAACGUUCAAUUGUGAAAGCAAGAGUUUGGGACUAGGCUUUUUACCAUUACAUUGGUGAGAACUUUUCUCUAUUACACCUCAAUAAAAUUAAUUUGGAAAUUGUUCUAGAAAAUUAACACUGUUCAAAAUGUAUUUCAUCACGUGUGUUAGUUAUACAUAAAAAUUUCAUGGGAAAUCAACUAAGUUUUGUUGUCUGAUUAAACAUAUUUGUUUAUUUCAGACCUAUAUGUACAAUCCGGGAUAGAAUCAAGAAAUGUAGCUUGAGGAGACGAAAUACAUAUGCAUAUAAACUUUUGAAUUAACUAAAUUUUUUGAAAUUUUUUGGAGGGACGGGAGGGACAAAUAAAUUAAAAUACAUAAGAAUUUUUAAAUUUUUAAAAUUUUAAGAGGAAAAAAUAUGAAUACCUAGAACUUAAAGGACAGUGAACGUGCUUGUGUACAAUCUAGCAGGAAUUCGCUACUCAAAGUCACAAAAUCCCUAACUUAGGAAAGCCUUUAAAAGAGACUAUCUUUGGAGCUUCUAACAAAAACUUGAUUAUUUUUGUAGAAAGCCGUCAAAAAAAUAGUGCAAAGUCAUUUCCAUUUUUUUAUUUCCUUAUCCAAUGUAAACCUCACCGAUGACGUUUGCCAGCUGACAACACAAACAACACGUCAAUGUUCUUUUCCUUAUUUCAUCUUAUUUUAUAUCAAGAAUAUACCUUCCUAAGAUACUUCUUAAAUAAUGUCAUUAGAUCAUUAGAUUUGGUUUAGGAUUUUUUUUUUCCAAGCAAAAGUUAAUAUUUCUGCUGAAAAUGGAUAAAGCCAGUUAGCCAAACCAUAGUCAAAAAUGAGCAGCUCAUUGAAUAUAAAAUUCUGGGCACUUAUACUCUUUAAUUACUUUAAGAAAGGACAAUUAUGUGAUUAUGAUAUUGCAUCAUUGCUAAUCACUUUAGGCCAUCAAGUUAAGUGAAUGGUAUUUCUCUCUGAAAUAUUAUUAGUUGCGACACUCUUAUCAGUUGAUUCACAAGCAACCCUCAAUUGGAUGUUUUUGUGUUGUUGAAAGGUGGAGCAAAAGUUGGAGGCGUUAGCCAGUGAUGAUAUGAUCAGUGGAUUUUGUUGGUGCCCUUGGGGUCGACAGGCAUCUCAUUUAAUCUACGAAUAGGGCAAUUUCAUUGGGUUUUCAUUAUAAUCCAAUUUCACCAUGCAGAAAACGAAAAAUAGUUUAAUGGGUUAAGUGUGAUUUUAGAAUAGUUUGAUGAUCUCUAACACACUUUAUUAUCAAAUUACAAGUCAAGAUAUCAGCAAUCUCGUGAUUGUGUUUUCUUUUUGCAGAACAUUUAAGGAGAAAUUUUAACUCUCAGAAUUUAGAAGUGUUCUGUGUCUUUUUGAGGUACAAAUUCACACAAAAUUCUUGAACUGUUGGAUAAAAAUAUACUGAAAACGUAAUCAGAGGGCAGCAUCAACAAUUUCCUUCAUCCCUCUUAAAGAAAGCAACCCCUUAUGUGAUCAUGUGAACGGCUUAAUUACUUCAUCUUGUUAUUUUAUUUCCGGCAAAGACUUUGAUCCAUUCAUCAUUAUGUUUCUUGCAGUCUUUAUAUUCGUGAAUCACGAUGGUUCCACUCAUGUACAUACCAAAAGGGGGGAUGAAUCCACUCAAAAUCUCAAACAAAUAUGAAAAAAAAAAUACAAUAUGAUAACGAUGUAUACUGGAAGCACUCUCAAGAAACAAUUUCCUUGUCCGGAUUGCAACAAAUUAAAUUGUAUGACGCCAUACAAAUUGCGCAAGCAUUCAAAAGUGAUAGUGUUAAAAAAAAUAAUAAUCCAUAAUUAUAGAGUAUGACAUUGCAUAAUUGUCUGUACCUGUAACUAUUUUAAUUUUGUCUCAUCAUGAGGAAGGGUCCUUGCUCUAUGAAAUCAGGCUACACACUAGAAUAAAUACAUAGGAGAGAAAAACAUCAUGUGCUUGUUUCCCUUUUUCUGUAUAAAUUAUUUCUUGCUUUACGCGUAUUGAACGUGUGAUUAUAAUGUCUAAUAUGUUUAGUUGGAUGCUUAUAGUACACGCGGUGAAUUAGAGAAGUUGAAUCACACCAUUUAUUUGGCUAAUUAAAAAUGAUUCUGAGUUCUGACAAAGUAUACAGAGCAUUGCACUGGGGGCUCUUUGUUCAACAAAUGUGUUAUAUGUAGACAACCACUCAUCUUUGGCGAAUGUAGGUACAUACAACAAAAAAGAACAAGGAAAGAUUUAAGUUGUGCCUUUGUCAAUUUUACUAGGUUUUGAAUCUUCAAUUGCGUUAUCACAUAUGGUGCCAAAUCAUCCUAGACUCGAGCUCAUAACAAAAUAGGACUAACUCCACUCGCACCCUCAACCUUGUACCACUUUCUUAUUUUAUACCUUAAGUUUCAAUUUUGGAUACUUUACAGCUUAAAUUCUCGAUUUUAAAUGUUUUACACUCUAAAUUCUUAAGUUUGUCAUAGUUAAAUUUAAUUAAUAUCAAUGUUAGCUAAAUUAACAAAAUAGAGGAUCAUACAAAUCAAUACUAAUGUGUUGGAUGUGGUCAAGGGGAAAAAAGAAUCACAACUAGAGAAAAUUAGACAAAAGUGUGUUCUAUUUAAUAAUUAAUAUUAUUAGCAAAAUUAAUGAGAUACAAGAUCAUGCAAAUUAAUGACGAUAUAUAUUUUAUUCUACUUGUGAUUUCUUUGCUCCUUUUGACCACUUUCAGUAAAUUAUCAUUGAUUUAUAUGAUUCUCUAUUCCAUUAAUUUUGCUAGCAUUAUUAUUGAUUAGAGUUAAAGAGAUAAACUUGAGAAUUUAGGCUAAAAGGUGUUCAAAAUUGAGAGUUUAGGGUGCAAAGUGAAAAAAUGAUACAAGUUUGGAGGUACAAAAUGAAAUUAGCCCUAACAAACUAUAUAUAGGUUAUUCAUAUAUCGAGCACCAAUGGUACUCGAAGCAGACCAUGGCAUCAAAGCUUGCUACUUAGAUUUUAUUCCAAGUAUAGUGCUGUAAGAGGUUAAAAAAUUCAAUCCUAAUUCACACUCCAAGAGGAAACAAAAUCCAACUAAAAGUAACCAUUAAGUCACGGGAAAUUGAUAAUGGUAUUCCUACUACUAUCUUUUUUAUGAUAUAAUUUCCAUUUUUUAGAUUAUACGAUCAAUAGAUAGUGAAAGUGCCAAUAUAAGAAAGUCAAGUGACAUUAACAUUUCUCUCUCCUUUUUCUUUUUGCAAAAUGAAAAGAUUUUACAAAAUACCAUAUGAGCUAACAUACAACUUCAAGAGGGAUAUAAAUUUAAAAUCCAUUAAUAGAAUCGUAACUACAAUAGAGUUUAUCUUAAUUAACAAAUGUAUCCAUACCUUUAACAUAAUCGAGCAAGAAUUGGAGGGGGGAAAAAACUCAAAGGUUUAAACUACACAUGACAAAUUUUGAAAAUCUAAGCUAAAGUUGAAGGCGACUUAUUAGCCACAUGUUUCACUGCAUGUACCAUUAGAAAUGUUAGGAACCUGCCUACGACCUACUGGAUGCUAAACUUGUAAGGUCUAACCGAUGUAGAAAAGACAAGACACGUUUUGUACUUUUCAACGAUAAGUUACACUUUUGAACACGUUUGUAUUUCCAAGUCUCUGCGCGUUUGUGCUUGUAUAUAUAGUGACAUUUGCACAAGUUGACUUCACUUCUCUCCUGAAGAGAAGAUCAAUAGUUUCUGAGAGUGGCUGAGAAAGAUAGUAGGCAAUAGAGAAGCAAAAAAUGGUGAGAGCCCCAUCAGUUGACAAAAAUGGAGUGAAGAAAGGGGCAUGGAGUGAAGAAGAAGACAAUAAGCUAAGAGCCUAUGUUCUAAGAUAUGGCCAUUGGAACUGGCGGCAGCUGCCUAAAUUUGCCGGUAAGCAGCUCAGGAUAUUUUGUUCCUCAAAAUUGAUAUGCAUUUCAUCAGUCUAACAAAGUCAACAGAUUAUAGCUAGCUACUGUUCGUGUUUGCAAAUUUUUUUGGUCUGAUUCUUGAUUAUAUGCUUCUCUUACGAAUUUAAGGUGUCUUUCAGGUCUAUCUAGAUGUGGCAAAAGUUGCAGACUGAGAUGGAUGAAUUACCUGAAGCCUGGUGUUAGAAGAGGCAAGUAUACCAUCGAAGAGGAGGAUCUAAUAAUCAAAUUACAUGAACAAUAUGGGAAUAGGUAUGAAGUUAAAGUCGUUUUUCUAGUAAUUCUUGCCAUGAUUUUAGGGCUAAAAUUCGCCUCAACAUCCAAUGUAUGGCUGUUGAGACUGAAAUGAUGUUCAGGUAAUAGAAUUUAGUACUAACUCAGUGGUAUUUUCCCUACAACAGAUGGUCAGCCAUUGCAGCAAAAUUACCAGGAAGAACGGAUAAUGAUAUAAAAAAUCAUUGGCACACGCAUCUCAAAAAGCGCAACAAACAAACUCAACUUAGUGAAAGAUCCCAGACUAUGGAUGAUGCAGAUCAAAAUGAGCAAUCUUCUGCAAUGUCUACAUCUGGUUCCAGUACUGAUCAAAAGAGAGAAAUGGAUCCAAACGCUUCUGCUGCUGAUUCUCUCGAUGCUUAUACGGAUAUAUCUUCCUUGAGCUGUGAUUCCACACUUUUUGAUUGUGUAGACUGGGUUGCAGAUGAUAGCAACAGUUCAGUAGAAUCAUUGACUGAACCCUUUGAGAGUUUUUGGACUGAACCCUUUGCGUUGGAUACAUCAUUUAGCAAUUAUAUUAGUGUCGACCCCUGGUUACCAUCUACGGAGGAGGAAUUCCUGUACCCUUUCUCCUCAUUUCUUGAUGAUGGCAUUGAUUGUUUCCACGAAUUCAACAAUAGAAAGGGAGAUGAUUAAUUGUCUAAGUGGUUACCAAUGUGUAACAAUGCUAUAGAUCCAUCAAAAUGGCCUUAAAACCAACGGCAUUGAAGAAAAAUAGCUCUACUGUUCAUUAUUAUAAAGAUUAGGUACUUAUCUUCGGCUAAAUUGUAAAAAGCCACCCUGAGAUAUCACUUAUUUGUGAUUUGCCAUUUAAACUAUUAUUCCCAGCAAUCUACUGCCUUGAACUUCUGUUGUGCCACAUUAAUCAAUCAAAUGGGAGAAGCCAUGAUGACAAUUUAACUUGUACAAACAUAUUAAAGACUCCCCACCUCCAUUCCCCUCUCUUAUCACCUUCUUUGAUCUAGUCGGAAAAAAUCACGACCUGGCCUUAGUGUUUGAGUAUAUAUAUGUAUGCAUUUGUAGAACAACAGAAUUUUUUCCUAACUAUUUUGCACCUUAGCGAUUGCUUUUGACAGCAUUAGAGGUGUUUCUUGAAGAUGGGUGUGGCGGUGUGGGUACUUUAAGUGCCCUUUCAAUUUUUUGAGGCGGUUGAAAAUCGACUUACAGUAUGCAAUUUCAAUACUUUAUCAAGUCAAAAGUCCUCCUAGACUUCCUGGUUUCUCCUGUAAUGAUGGUGGUGUGGCACUUGCAGGUUUUUAUUGCUCAGUACAUAUGAGAGAAAGAAAUAAAACUUAACCACAUUUUACUAGGUUAAGUUGUAAUACUAUCUUCUUCUCUUGUACAUGCUUCGAUCUUGUCCUAUGUAUGCUGUCAAAUAAAAUAAAUUCUUAAAAGUAACUGGUAAAGAGGAAGCGUUUAUCAUUUAUACAUGGUGCCAGAAAACAGUUCUAUAAACAAAAGUUUAACUGAUUUUGCACAAGAAAAGUUCUGUCAAAUUUGUAAAAUUAAGCUAUUUCAAUAGAAUCAUUUCGCUUUCUUAGAACCGUUACUUAAAAAAGCACAGGAUGUGCACUUUUUUUUUUAAGUGAUAGGAUUUGAAUCUAAAAUGUUUACAAGAUGUGCAUUUAAUUUGGGACAGAUUUAAACUCUAUAGGUCACAAGAAGUGGCCAAAAAAAAAAAGGAAAAACUUGGCAUCCGGUUUGUGGUAUAACAAAUUUUCACUUCAAUUUUCCUUUUCUCUCUUCGUCGCUAACGUGGUUCAUUAAUUCAAUCUGUUACAACCAUAACCAAUAUCUUGGAAAUGACAAUAUCCACAAGCAAAAUGUAAUGUUUGAAGUUGAUGCUACAUCAAGAUCAAAGUGUUUUUGUUAAGCAGUUGGUCUCUGUAGACCAGGUAGAUAGAAUGAUCUUUAGGAUGUCUCGGACGCAUGCAGGUUGAAAUUUACUCGCUUAUCUUUAGAGGAGCCAUCUGGCUAUAAGACGAAAAAGGAAGUUUCUUCCAAGUGAAGUAGAUCUUUGUUGUGACUUGUGAUGUAAGUUUUCAUAUAGGAUUCUUUCAAUUCAAAUAUGUAGAAAAACUUUUCUUUGAAAUGAAAUACUUAGCGGCAGUGAAGUAUUAUGUACCUUUCUCAUAGUUUAAUCACCAGCAUAGCCAUUGAUAUUAAUCAUCAUGUUUCUUGAAUCUUUAAUUGUGAUUUCUAAUUAUUCAUCAAGACUCCACCAGGAAACAUGUAAACAGAUUUUAACAGCGGAUCAAAAUUUAACCGGAGAGAAUCCGGAUCUCAAGUUCAUUUGUUUGGACAGUGACAAGGGCAAAAAAGAGCAAAAAUGAUAAAUGUUAAAAACAAAAGUAAAAUACUUUUUAAAGUUAACGUCUUCUGAUGCUUGUCAUCUUUGAGAAAUUAAAAGAGGGAGAAAUCAUGAAGUGGACUAGAAAACUUGCGUUGAUUCACCAAUUCCAGUUUUACACUUGUUUCAAUCAGUUGAUGAACUUACACCAAUUUCAAAUAGAUAUUAAAAUUUCAUUAUCCAUUAUGCUGUCAGAGUCAGCUGACUCAAAAUAAUUUCCAAUGGGAAUCCAAUUAAAUAGUGUCAUACCAAGUCUUCUAGGUCACAUUUCUACUCCACAGCCAAUGGCUCAAAAGUUCAAUUCUUCCCAUUAAUUCUCAAUUCAUCGUUUUUUCCUAACGAAUUAUACUUGAUUUGCAGUCUUAAUUCCUCCAAAUGGAAUGUAAUAGUAUCUAAGUAAGAGUGAAGAAUACGACAAUUUAGACUUCAAACUAUUAGAAGCAAAUCACCAGGACUUUAAGGUAGAUUUUAAGUCCGCUUAGGGUUUGUUCACAUCUAGACUUUAAUCUAGAAAAUGCCUUUUCUUCAAGCUAGAAUAUGUUUUGCCAUUGGCUUGACUGACUUUGGCUCUUUCUUUUAUUUAUUUUAAGCUGAAAGAAAUUAUUGUGAGAACAACCAGCAAAAUGCUUUUGAAUACAGCUUUUACCUUUUCAAAACAUACCAAAUAUACCUUUUAGAAAAAGCAAUUCUAAACAAAAAUUUGUCUACUUUUCCUACACAAUGUAAUAAACUUUUUACCCUGCAAGUCUGAAUGCAUGGCAUAUAAUCACUAUCCAAAAUUAAUUUUCAAUUUUUUACACAUAUAGCGUGCAUGAAGAACUGUUAUUGUUAAAAUAAUUUUUAUAAUCGACUACAAUAGAUUUUGAAUAAUUAGCUUCAUCAUAAUCUACUUAACAAAAGGAGAACCUAUUACAAACAAGCACGUAUGUCUUAUCGUAUGUGGUAUUAGAAUGAUAAAGAACCUACUAACUGAAGGAAUCUUGUAGUUGACUACGGACUACCCCAUCUGGACAACAAACACGAUUUCUGACCUGAAUAUUUCAUUUCUGGAAUUUGUACCACAAUAAAUAUGUUAUGUUUGGACUGUUACUUUCUUUAAGAGGGGUUGAUCAGAGAGCCAGGGAGAAAGAGAGAAUCAGCAACAUGGUAAGAUCCCCAUAUAUUGACAAAAAGGGGCUGAAGAAAGGUGCAUGGAGUGAAGACGAAGACAACAAGUUGAGAGCCUAUGUUCUAAGAUAUGGCCACUGGAAUUGGCGUCAGCUGCCUAAGUUCGCUGGUCAGGAUUACUCAAGAACUAAGGAUCUAUAACUUCUUUGUAGUCCUCCUCCUUCUCAACCGCCCGGCCACUACCACCAUCUUUCCUUCUCUUCCUCCCCUUUCUACUUCUAAAUUUUUUUAGUUGACUUGAAAAGCAUACACAAAAGAAAUCUGGUAGCAAUAUUUUUCUGGUAUCUAUGAUCAUUAAUGUUUUUUCUGUGUAUUAUUAGUCUAUGGAAGAGAGGAGAUCAAAUAGAAAAUUUUAUUUUAUUUUUCCUUAAUUUGUUGUCUUAGAAUUUUAGUGAAAAUUAUGUGAAGUAGGACCACAGAUAAGAAAAUUUCAAUUUCUUUUCUUAACUUUUUCCCUAAAGUUUUUUUUCUUAUAAUUUAGUCAGAAUUAAGUGAUUUAGGAGCUUAAAAUGCAAGAAUUUGUGUAUCCUCCUCUAAUAAGAUGAUGAUCUUUGCCAGGGCUUUCCAGGUGCGGGAAAAGUUGCAGAUUGAGAUGGAUGAAUUACCUGAGACCUGGUCUGAAAAGGGGCAACUAUACCGUUGAAGAGGAGGAUCUAAUCAUCAAACUACAUGAGCAAUUAGGGAACAGGUAUGAUUUUGCCGUUAUUAGUUACAGUAAUUGUUGCCAUGUUUUUAGGGCUCAAAAGAUGUUUAGGUCAUAAGUACUAACUGAAAUGAUGUUUUUCCUGCUACAGAUGGUCAGCCAUUGCUGGGAAAUUACCUGGAAGAUCGGACAAUGAAGUAAAAAAUUAUUGGCACACUCGUCUGAGGAAACGCAUUAAUCAAGAUCCUAGAUCAACCAAAAUUAUCAAGCAAACCAGUGAUCAAAAAACCGGGCAUAUGCAUGAUGCAAAUCAAAUCAAGCUAUCUGCUGCGAUCUCUGAUUCUGAUUCCAAUGAUAAGAGAGAAAUGGAGCCUAACAUUGCUGCUGCUGCACCUGUUGCUGAUACUAAAAUGUCGUCUUUAAUUUGUGAUUCCAGCCUUUCUGACAGCAAUAGUUCAGUGGAAUAUUCAUUUGCUGAAUCCUUUGAGAGUUUCUGGACCCAGCCCUUUAUAUUGGAUGCAUCCUAUAACAGUAAUGUUCUUGCGUUACCACCAAUGGAGGAAGAAUUUACUUUUCUUUCACCUCCUAUGUUCAUAUAUGAUGGUAUGGAUUGAUUAUAAGAAUAGUACUAUCACACUGUAGCCCAAAGAUUGUCAGUUUUGGUAUGGUAAAGAGUUAGAGAACUGUUUUGUUUAUUCCAAAAUUGUGUCAUGUACUGCAAAUAAGAUGUAGACAACAACUGUGAAAAUUGUUAUUUGCAAUUUUUUUUUUAUAAUGAUGGUGUAAUUUUCGCUAUAGCCUUGAAGUGAUUGAUUAUCGAUUUUGCGACUACAUUAUACAUAUUAUACAUAUAUGGGUAAAAAACAAAAAAGUCUUUUAUCAUAAAUCUAAUAUACAGAAAAGCCCUCCGUGAUUUUAAAACGUAUAAAACAAUACUUCAUGUUUUGAACUAAAUUAUAAAAAUGAUGGAAUCCGUUAACCCCAAUUCUCUCUCUCUCUCUUUCUAGAGAAUGAAACAAAUGAUUUUAUUGAGUUGCCUCUUGUUUAAUUAUAUCAGAGCAUUUUUGUCAUUUUGUCCAUCCCCGUUAAUUAUGUCGCGCCGAAUUCCGUCACCUUUACAAUCUAAUUCAAAACAUGAAGUAUCGUGUUGUACGUUUUAAAACCAUAAAAAACUUUUCUAUAAAUUAGAUUUACUACAGGGGUUUCUUGUUUUUUAUCCUACACAUAUACAUUUCAUUGGCAUAAAACUUUUUGCAAGAUGUAUGAUAGUUACGUUUUCAUGAGUGAUAGGGCCGCUAUUGAGUCGAAUCGAUACUCUAAUAAAAAAAAUGAGUUUGAGUUUAUCAAGUUCUUUAAAAUUGAGUUCGAGCUCAAACUCGAGCUUAAUUUACCUUAUUCGAGUUAGAAUUCGACCAAAUUGAGCUCAAUCGAGUUUUCAACCUCGAUUUUUUAGUGAGUUUUCAUAAUUUUAUAAAAAUAAUUAAAAACUUUAUUAUAAAUAUACUAUUCGAUAAGGUUCGAUGAGUAUGUGAAUUUUGAUUUUUUCUACUCUAACUUAACUCGAUUACCUUAUCAAGUUUCUCGAAAUCGAUUAACGCAGAGUUCGAGUCUAAUCUUUAACCAAACUAUUCACGAGUCCAAGUCAAGCAAUUUGAUUAAUUUACACUCUAACUAGCACCAAUAUAAAUCUAAGAGUGUCAUUAUGUAGCAUUAUCUUACUAAAACAAGAAUCUCCUCUUUGCACGUAUUCAUGGUAAACCAUGUCCCUCCUGUAUGUGUUCACUGCAAGCAUCUUCAUCGGCAGACACAAGAGCUUGUUGAGCUUUUUGUAAAUACUUACCCAUAAACAUGUUCUCACAAUUUGUACUUGAUCAUUUGUUUCCGGUUAUUCGUUUCAUGGCCUAAUGGUCCACAUAACGUAUAAAUGAAAUAUGACCAAAGGCAGAAGGUGACCAAUCACAUCCUGUCGCAUGGCUAAAGGGCACCACUUAUCAAGGGCAAACCACAAGGAGCAUGUCGCCUCUCCAUUUUUUACGCUCUCUUUCAAAAACUGUUACUAAGUGAUUCUGGAGCUAUAGUCUGAAUCCUCCCUUCGUUUCGUGCAGGUCCUGUUCUAUCAUUAUGACCCGGCUAGUAUUGACUUUGAACAAUGUACAUGACUAGCAAGUAGCAAGAAGCAAUCCAAGUUUCCCAACCUGCCACCCCCAAACUUGAAAAUGUUUUAUAGCCUCACGAAAUUAUGAAGUUCAAAUGGGUACUUUGCAAAAAUUAAGAUUUUUUUAACAAAAAAGUUCUUAAUAUGUGAUCGUACAAUUACAACCAUCUAUGGAGUUUAAGACAUGCAUUAUUGAUCAAGUAAGUAUAUCACUCCAUCAAGCAUUGAAUUCGAAAAAGAAAAAAAAAAGACAAAAAAGAAUUCAGAAAAAGAAGUGCAAAUUAUAUGAACAUCAAUGUUAAAGUACUGGUUCCUACUUUUUUUUUCAAAGAAAAAACUAUAAAUUCCUACUUUUCCUAUUGACUUUACAUGUCAGAAGGAUUUUCAUAGCCCCUAUAUGUGCUUCGAUUGGGUUUAAAAUAAAUUUACAUACUUGGACUUCUAUUUCUUUUCAAUAGUACAUACAUUGGAAUUUAUUCAAAAAGAAAAACUCUUUGAAAGAUGCUAUUUCAUCAGACGCCCUUGAUAUUAUCUCAUAAAUUGGGAUUAGUUCAAUAAGAAGUUGGGCAUUGCUCGUAUGUGUAUUCUUUAGUUCCUACGUUCUUUUUUUUUUUUAAAUUUCAUCAUCAUAGACGGUAAGCAAAUUUUAACAGCACUUGAUGCUUUACAAUAAGUUCGUUCACUAAUAUUGUUUUGAUAAUACUCGAUAGAGUUUUUUUAUUUGAAAUUUGAACAGUAUAGUGAACAUAGAUAAUUUUAGUCGAUUUCUUUCUGAUGCAAUGGAGGUGAUUACUUUUUGUAUAUGCUUACAAAUACAUCAAUGAAAAUUCACAUUUACUCCAAAAAAAAAAAAUUUAUUCAAUGUUGUCAAGUGAUAAUGGUCAUUUCUGUUUAUUAAUAUUCAUAUUAAAUCUGAUUGUACUUUGUCUAUGUAUUUCAAAAUAUUUGGAAUGUUAAUGGUUGUUCUAUAUAAUUCAUAGAGUAUUUACAAGAAAUUUUGGUAUUAAAAAGAACUUUAUGGGUCCAAGACUAAUUGUGCAUUUGUCACAAGAACAUAUUUGAUUUGUCAAGAAACAUGAACGACUUUAAUUACUUAGUGCUAGAAUUAUAAUACUACGAUUAUUAUACUAAAGUAAUAAAUUGAAAAAAUCCGAAAUCCAACAUUCGAAUAUUAAUCUGGGUAAAAGGAUUUCUGUGAUAAUUCUUCUUCAACAUACAUGUACCAAACUUCUGGUAAUUAACCACAUGAAAAUAAAUAGUUGCCGAACCUUUGCCAGUAUGUCAAAAAGCCAAAAUUACUUAAUUGGAUGUGAUAUGGGGACAUAUUGAUGCUUUCAACCCAACCAAAAAAAAAAAAAAACUAAUAUACAUCAAGAGCAGUUUGAAGGGUCUUGUAACAACUGCCCCCUAAAAUGAAGAUUGAAGUUUUUUGUUUCAAUGUUGCUUUUGAAUGACUAGCAAAUUGAUGCUUCUACAACUUGUCUUAGGAUAGAAUAUUACAAAUUAAAGUUAAUAAAACUACUUUCUAAGUCAUCAGUGCUAGUAAAUAAAAAGAAAAGUUUUUGACAAGGAAACUACUCUGUAGUCUGCACCCAAACAAAACAAAAAAAAAAAAAACACUUUGUCAAAAGCCCCUAAUAGUGAAAUUAAUUAGCAAUAACAAGUCAUUGAAGUACCAAAGGGGCAAAUAGUAUUCAAAUUCUAGGUCUGAUCACAGCUUUUGAUUUUUCAGAUAGCGUUUCGAAAUCAGUCUUUGAAAUUCACGUUCAAAGUCCGAAAUCUCCUGUCAGUUGUGAACGUUUUGAAACUCCUAAAAUCUCAAAUUUUCCUGCACUGUUUAAAUUUCGGCUGAUUAAUUUAUUCACGGUUUCACAUUAAGUCUUCUUCAUGGAGUCAACGUAUUUAUUAAUUUUUCACUUGGGGUACUGAUCACAGUCUAGCUCUUAUGUCGCACGAAAGAAUCAAAAGCGUGGCCCUGGAUGUCGUAUCUAUAGAAGACGACUUUCAACAUCACCUUUCCUUCUCAAUUGACUAUCCUCUUACUCGGACUUUAGACUUCCAUGGGGUUGAAGUGUGAUCACAACGUGAUUGUGAAAUAUUUUGGGAUAGUAAUUGACUAAUUGGCCUUUAUUGACCUGGUAAACAUGCAUGAAUUUCACGUAGCAGCCUGAAUGAAUUUAAUAUUUAUUGACUAUUGGCCUGUAUUAAUGGCCAUUGUUUUGGGAUAGUAAUUGACUAAUUGGCCUUUUAUCGACGUGGUAACAUGCAUGAAUUUCAUAUUUGUCGAAUUUGUAGGGACUACUGUUUUGGUUUGUCCAUUGAGCUGCUCACCCUCAAUUUGACUCAUCGAGUCCACUUGAGGAACCUAGGGUAGAAAGUACAUGCAAUUGGAAUACACAAUAGACAAAAUUCAAUAAAAUAUAUUUUUAGGUAAUUAAAACCCUAAAAGCAUGAACAAUAAGUAAUAUUAAUUGUCAAAUGCAGCACUAAUUUAUAGAGUUUUGCAUAGCCAAAUAAAAAAAAAAAAAAAAAACUGUAUGACAUAUGAAAUACUCCCUCCGUCCCAUAAAGAUAGGUUCACUUGUUUUUUUGUGUCUGUCCCCGAUUAUAGGUCUAUUUCCUUUUCUAAAGAGUAGUUAGUUUGUUAUUUUACUAAUAUAUCCAUAUUUAAUGUAUGUAGUGAUUAACAAAUGCACUACUCCAUUAGUUAAUUAUCCUAUUUAGAAUAUUAAACACAACACUAAUAACUAGAUUUACUGUUUUUCUAAGAUAUAGUAACAUGUGACUCCUAUUUUGAAUGAAUGAUUUGAUAUUAAUAAGGGUAUUUGAGGAAAGUAAAAACAAAAAAUUAAUUGUUGCAACUACAUUAGCUAAAUUUCUUAACCUGUGUGAAAAAAGAAAUAAACCUAUCUUUAUGAGACGUAAGGAGUAGCUCUAAUCAGUAACUUCAAAAAUUUAGGGAUCCAUUUUCUUUCAAUUGCUUAGUUUUUUGGGAUAAUUUCAGAAACCUCCCCUGAGGUUUCUGACACUUUCACUGACAUCCCCUGAGGUUCUCAAAAUUUCACUUACCUCCCUUGCUUUUGAUUUUGUGGUAACAAUCCAGUCCAAAUCAGAUUAAAAUAUUAUUUUCAUGUGUGAGAAGGUAUUUUUAUUCCAUAGCUACCCUUUGCAGAAGUUGUAUUAGUAGAAGAUUCAAAAAAGAAUAAAUGAUUUGGACUAAUUAGUAAAGUUGAGGGGGGGUAAGUGCAAUACAAAAAAUUGCAUGCACCAGAUGUGCCAUGCAACAGUUAUUUGGCAGAUUUUGCAACGGCUAGCUGCAAAUUGCAACGGCCAGAAGGUUUGCUGUUUCAGUAGCAAUAGCAUAUAAAGCAAAGCAACUUAACUACCUCUGAGGUUUCAAGCUAUUAACAUUCUUUGCUACUAAUUUGGAGUGAUAACAAGUGCAUUUGCUGUGCUACAAUUAGAGCUCUGAGUAAAAAGUUUUAGCUGCAACCAUGGCCUCUUCAAGCCAUAGGGGAGAAUCAUGGAAUUCACCUACAUCUUUCUCCAUUAAAAACAGGUUUUGCCGCUGUAAUCGCAAAGCAACCGUAAUGAUAUCAGAGAGUGAAAGGAAUCCAGACAAGUUGUAUUUCUAUUGAGAAAUUUCCAACUUUGUGAUGAAUUUUAAAAAAAUUCUACAAAAGGGGUGAUUUUGGGUUUAAUUUCCGUCAGGGGGGUCUUCGCAUUUGUGAAUUUCACAAAUGCGAGCUUACAAGAGCUCGCAUUCGUGGAAUGCGAGCUCUGGUUAUUGAGCUCGCAUUCCACGAAUGCGAGCUCUUCUCAAUUUUUUUUUUCCUUUUUUAAGAGCUAGGGAAUUAUUUCUAGGAAGCAAAUGCGAGCUCUUAUCUUUUUUAUUUUGGUAUUUUUUGAGAGGUAGGGAAUUAUUUGCAGAAAGCUUCUAAUUUUUGUUUUAAAAAAUGUUGCAAAUAUUUAAAAUUUUGCAAAUAGCUCGCAUUUGUUAAAUUUGACCUGCAAAAAUUGUAUUUAACUUUUUUUGUUAGAUUUCGCAUUUAUAAGUAUGACUUGUAGAAAAUUAGAUUCAAAUUUAGAUGUAUUAGGGUUUUAAAAAUAUUAUAUAAGUGAUAAAAAUUUUAUAAAUUGUAAAAAUAAAAUCAAACUGCUUGGAUAAUUAAAUGUUAUAUUUGCAUAAGAAAUAAUACAAUAAUCAUAAUAAUGAUAAUACAAUAAUAUUGGUGUAAUAAAACUGCCAUUAAUUUAAAUAUUUACUUAUAAUGCCCAAAGAGCCUAAUUACCAAUUUUUUCUUCUCGCGCUCAAAUAUAACAUUAACCCGCAUGCGAGCUAACCUUGAAAUAGAAAAAACACAGAAUCCCGCUUGCGGGUUUCAGGAGUAUUCGGAUAUUCUCAUAUGCACCUAUGCAAAUCGAACCAACCGGAUAUCUUAUCCGUAUCCCAUUUUUUUAAAUAAAAAUCUUAUAAAUUUGAAAAAUAAAAUCAAAUUUAGAUGUAUUAGGGUUUUAAAAAUAUUAUAUAAGUGAUAAAAAUUUUAUAAAUUGUAAAAAUAAAAUCAAAUUUAAAUAAUUAAAUGUUAUAUUUGCAUAAGAAAUAAUACAAUAAUCAUAAUAAUGAUAAUACAAUAAUAUUGGUGUAAUAAAACUGCCAUUAAUUUAAAUAUUUACUUAUAAUGCCCAAAGAGCCUAAUUACCAAUUUUUUCUUCUCGCGCUCAAAUAUAACAUUAACCCGCAUGCGAGCUAACCUUGAAAUAGAAAAAACACAUAAUCCCGCUCGCGGGUUUCAACGUUAUUCUGCGCUUCGUGUGUUUGCUUUUGUUUUGCUUUUGUCUUUUUUUUUCGAAAUGGAGGGUUGGCGGUGGAGCUUAGUACGAGAGCUCACUGAACUCUAAUAGGUUUCUAAUUAGGUUUCUAAUAAAGACUUCGUUCGAUAUGUGAUAUUUCAGCCGAACUUCGAAUCCAUGGCACUUAUUACGCGCUUAAGCCACCUGUCCACAUUAGCAAUCAAAUGGCUUGAUAUCAAGAAUUCCACAAAGGUAAAUUACCUAAUAACCUUGCAAAAUAGGCUAUCCAUCUUCCUUGAGUUCAUAUAAAAACAUUAUCCUAAAUACCAAAAAGGACAAGCUUGAAUUCCCAAUCCCACCUGUGUACAUAAAUUGUUCUUAUUUGAUUGAACUUCUUGUCUUGUAACAAAUGACUCCACAGACAUUUUCUUGCAAAGUACGUAAUUUGAAGUCAGGCGUGUAAUCUUGCAUGACAAGAAUAGGUACGUAAAGAAUAAGAAAAUUCAUUAUGUAACUUAAACAUAAACGGUAGUAAUUAACCCCAACUACUUGGGAUAUAUCUGUAAUUUUGGCCCUGAUGACGUCAGAAAAGGGGCCCAAUUUUUAUCAAGGGAGGUAAGUGAAAUUUUGAGAACCUCAGGGGAUGUCAGUGAAAGUGUCAGAAACCUCAGGGGAGGUUUCUGAAAUUAUCCCUAGUUUUUUCUCAAGCGCACAAUAUAUUCCAAUUGCUCUUGGAAUAACUUUUUUAUAAAUAAGCAUGCCGGGGUGAGAGACCUUUUCAUUCUGCAGACAAUUAAAAGAUUUUCCUAUUCUAAAGUAAGUAGAUAUGAACUAAUGGGAUGUUAGUUAGAAGGUUGUAAUUACAUAUGUAAUGCGAAUUCUAAAUGAUAAUGGAACCCAUAAAACUCAUUAGUUUCUCUUUUACUUUCUUUGAUGUUAAACCUUCAUAUUUUUCCUAGCUUCUUCUCAGAAAGCGCCCAUAUAUAGUCCAAAAACAAGGUCUAAUUGAGAUUUUCUAACAUUAUAUGGUUGCCUAGGAAGCUGCUUCAUUUAAAUGUCAAAAGGGUUCAAUUCCUUUAAUCUGUGCAGUUAAAUUAUGUUAUUGAAAUUGCGGCCUGUUCUUUCCCCACAUGAGCAGAGACUUGAAUAAUUAGACAAGACUUUUAGUCAAACGCGUUUUGGUUGAAAUUUUUUCCCUUUUUCUUUCUUUUUCUCAUCGUGAAUUCCCUGUCUAUAAUCUAUAUCCCACGCAUGAUGUCUUGGAGUUCCUACGCAAAUGAGCAGCAAAGAAUUAUUUCCAUUGCCUAUUCUAUCCCUAACAACACCAUGACGUUUACACGCUGACGAACGUCCAACUUUUUUGUUUUUAAAAAAAAAAUAUUUUGAGGUUUUUUUCCUCCCUGAAAAUGUAACUUAUAAAUCAAUUCAAUUAUUCUAUUUGAGAAUAAUUUAUCUCUUAGCAAUUUUUUUAAGGAGAUAAGAAAAUGCUUCAAAAAGUAGAAGCGCUUAUGCAGAUUUUUUUGUUUUUUGGGAGGUGACAAAUAGAUAUUGAAAACUUGACCUUAAAAAAACUCUGUGGAGCUAAUGCGUUUGUUAUUGGUAAAUAAAUAAAUAAAAAGCCAGGGAAAGAAAAAUUAUUCCGCUGCCGGGGUUCGAACCCGGAUUCCAACAUCAUUAGGAAUUGCCAAGUGCUACAGCGGAAUUUUAUUGGUAGAUUACAAAAAACUAUACUUAAAUACUUGUUUUGCUUUGGUUUCAAAAAUCGAGGCCUAGUGCUUCUUACAACAUUGUGCAUCACGAAUUUCUGUAGAAUGGUUGGUGAUCCUUCAAGUAUGAAUUAUUCUCGAAUAUGUGUUUGGUUAGAAGGUUAUUUGAAAAAAAAAAAUUUGAACAAGUACUGUGACACUUUUUGUAAUAUAAUAUAUCGGAAAGAUUAAAAAAAAUAAUUGAAAAAAGCUUUUAUGAUGUAAUAAAAGGAUCUCAUAAUUACCUAAUCCACAUUCUUAUCAAUUAAAUUGGGUUUUGGAGAGCUAUAGCAGAUGUUUCAUGUAAAGCAAAUAGGAAGAAGAAUGUAGCAGAUCUUUCAUGUUAAGAGAAUAUAACUUUUCUCCUUUGGGCUUAAUUAUGAGGCCUCAAGGCCCAGUGCUUCUUGGAAAGUUAUGGAUAAAGCAUACACAUUUUACUGAUUUUCUCUCAGCAGUGCAAUCAAAGUUGGAUUGAAAAUAACAAUUUCAACAAAAUUGAUUUUACCUUUUAUUCUUGCACAUGAAAUAUAUAAGUCUGACAAGAAUUUCAUCUUGUUAUUCUUAUAAAAUGCAUAAACAGGAACAUGUUAAUGGCACUCCCUUAUUUAUUAAUCACAUUCCCUUUGAUCUUUUGGUCAUGUGAAUUAGACAAAAAUACUCCUAUCUUUUAUUAAAUUUAUAAUAAUCCCUUUUUUAUGAAGGCCUAAUUAAAACGAAGAGUAGGAAUAAUUUGAUACUUUCACGCGUGCACAAAAGUCAAGAGAAGUACCAUUAAAAUAGAUGAGUACUAUCAAUAUUUCCCACUUAAAUAUAGAGAAAAUUCAAUAUGGCUAAUCUUUAACAUCAAAGAUUAGAACUUUCACUUUAGUCCUUAAACUUCUCUUUUGACACUUUAUCCCUUUAAAUGCAAAAAUCAUCCCAAUUUAAAUCUUAAAGUUUAAGUAUCACUUGCCCUCUGUUUUAUUUGUUUUCACAAUUCCGUGGGAUGGAUUGCAUAAUUUAGUGAAUAAAAUGUCCAAAAUUGAAAUUUAAGGACUAAAGUGGAUGAAUUUCAUACUUUAGGGGGAUAAAGAGCCCAAAAAUAAAAUUUAAGGACUAAUAUGGAAAUGUAUCUACAGUUUAAAAGUCCAAAGUGGAAUAUAGCCUAAGAUUGAUGGUUCUUUCCCUCCCCACUACUUCUUAUUUUCUUGUUCAUUUUCUUUGCAGUUAACUCUUUAAUUUGAAAGCUAUGGCAUCUCUUCUCAAUUUUCCAAAUUAUCGUUUUAGAAUGUCACCAUAGUCCAAAAACAAGUACAAGUUGAUAUUUUCUUACAUUCCAUGUUGCGUAGGAAAAUGUUAAUCCCUUUGUUUUAUGCUGUCAAAUUGUGUCAUAAAACUUGCGGCCUGUCCUUCACCCACACGAUCAAAGAUUAGAAUGAUUAGACAAGAACACCUUGUGGUUGAAUCUUUUUAUAUUCCUAAGCAUUAUGAGUUAGGGUAAUGAUACUAUGAAAAUAAACAACAACGAAUUAUUUCCAUUAUACCUAAUCCAUUUUCUAACAACACCAUGACGUUUACAAGCUGACGACACAAAGAACAAAGUCCAACAUUUUGUCAAUUAAGUAUUUUUAAGGUCUUUUAUGAUAAACAAAAAUAGAAAAAAAAAUGCAGUUUUGUUACCCAAACUUUGAUACACAAGCGGUUUUAAUUCUCAAAUUUUGGACAAAAACAAAUCUAGUACCUAAUUUUUUAACUAUUGAUCACAUUUAGUACUCUUGACGAAUUUUUUUCAAAUUACUACUAAAAAAAGUUACGUGAUAGUCAUAUGUCUGGCAACUAUUAUAUAAAAAAAAUGUCAAAAAAUGUAAAAUUUUCUUCUGACAUUAAAUGUCACGUAAAAUAUCCUUCUGACACAAGUACUAAGUUUAAUAACUAAUAAUUUUAUCAAAAUGAUGUUUUACAUUUUUUGGCAAAUUUUUAUUAAUAAUUGCUAGAUAUAUGACUAUCACGUGACUUUUUCAAGUAACAAUUUGAAGAAGAAAAAAACCGUCAAGUGUACUAAAUGUGUUCAAAAGUUGAAAGUUUGAGUACCAAAUUUGUUUUCGUCCAAAAUUUGGAGAUUAAAACUGUUCAUCUGGCAAAGUUUGGAUACAAAAACUUACAUUUUUCUCUAAAAAAUAACUCAUGAAUUAUAAAUGCUCCAGCAUGCAGACACGCUUGUGCUUCUUCAUUUAAUUAGUGACAAAUACACAUUAAAAACGUGAAAUAGAAAGAAAAAGCCCCUCCUCCACUUCUCGGCUUCCUUCCUCGCCUACUCUUUGCCGCUGGGCGUAACGUAGAAGUUUUGCUUCAAUGGCGUCAGUAAUUCUUCUACCUGCUUAAAAAGACACGCUUGUGCUUCUUCAUUUAAUUAGUGACAAAUACACAUGAAAAACGUGUCAAUGGAGUCAGAAAUUCUUCUAGCUGCUCAAAAAAGCAGCUAGCAGCCUAGAAAAAGAAUUUCCGCUGCCGGGGUUCGAGCCCGGAUUCCAACAUGAUUUCGGAAUUGCCAGCGCUACAGCGGACUUUUAUUGGCAAAUGAAUCAGAAUAUUUAUAAUUAUACUAAAAUUAAGCUCGUUUGGGCUCAUGAACAGAUUUCAAGGCCCAGCUGUUUUUUUUUGACACUGUAGGUAUUGGGGUUUAUACCCAACUAAUUUCACAGCGUCCAGGCAGACCAGGCAGAGUAAAAACCUGGAGCGGAAACCAGUCGAACUACCCCAGCGCAGUUUGUUAGAAAAUCAUGUAUUACAAUUUUUGCGAUUACAUAUUUUACGGACUCUCUCUAAAAAGUCAAAAGUACCCCGGAGUUUUGACCAAAAAAUACGGGCUCAAUAAAGUUACCAAAAUGUUAUUUCAAACUUUUAGAUGAAACACUAGUUGGACAAAAUUCAUGUGGACAAAUAAUGAACAAUACAGCUAAUUUUGACGGAAUUUAUGAUCACACAUUUCAAUGGAAUUGCCAUUCAAAUGAAGAGUAUAGGUAUUUUUAUACUUUCGCUUGAGUAAAAAAGUGAAAAGAACUGCCAUUAAUAAAUAAGAGAAUGCUAUUAACAUUUUUCUGUACAAUUAUGGAGAAAUUUGCCGAAUUUCUAGAAAUAAUGCUAAAUUUAGAAAAUAUCUUAUUUAUGGUGUUCCAUGAGAUUAUUUUCUCCACUUAGAGAUUAUUUCUCAUUGAGAAAUAAAAAUAUUUUCUCCACUUAGGUUUCUUCUUUCUUAGCGAUUUUUUUAAGGAGAUAAGAAAAUUCUUCAACAAGUAGAAGCGCUUAUGGAGAUUUUUAUUGAAAAUGUGACCUUAAAAAAACUCUGUGGAGCCAGUGCUUGUUGAUGUUAGUAGAAAAAAAGGCAAGAAAUGAAAAAAAAUUAUUCUGCUGCCGGGGUUCGAUCCCGGAUUCCAAACAUGUUUAGGAAUUGCCAAGAGCUACAGCGGAUUUUUGUUGGUAGGUUACAAAAAACUAUACUUAAAUACUUGUUUUGCGUUGGUUUGACGAAUCAACGCUCAGUACUUCUAACAACAUUAUGCAUCACAUGACAUUGAUUCUAUUUGGCAAAGUGAGUUUGCCUCCUACUAAUUUUUUAACAAUUUUAGUUACAAUAAUCACAAAAAAAUUUUAAAAAUUUUUAAAUUUCAUGUUUCAAAAUACCCAAAACACUGAAAAUGAAUUCCCUUCUUCCUUUCUUCUUCCACCUCAACCCACCACCACCUCUUCCGCCAACCAGUUAUAUUAUUUUGACAAGAAUCUCAUCGUCUUGUUCUUUUGGAUGCAUGAAUAUGGAGAAAUUUUAAUAUGGAUAGUUGUCAUUUUAUUCAUAACUCGUAAGAUAAAUCAUUUGAUCCCAAUAAAGUUUGAUCAUUUGGUCCCAAGUAAAGCUGUUGGUGGAUUUUUAUUUCCUUUUCUCUCUUUAUUUUUGAUCAUGUAGUUCAUUUUUUGUCUGAUACACAUAAUGCCUUAGACGAUCUUUCCUCUGCAAAUAACCAGCAAACGAUCUUUCCUCUGAUACACAUAAUGUUUACAUAUGUUUUUUUUUUUUUUUUUGGUCAAAAAGUAGUUUAAGGUCUCUUCAUGUAAAUUAAAAUGUACUUUAAGAGAAAAUCAUAUCUUUUUAGCAAUGUUUCUUAAGGAGAGAACAAAAAAUUUCAGUAAGCAGACUCGUGGGUGAUUUUUAAUUCAUUAGCAGCAAAUAGAUAGUGAACACGUGCCCAGAAGAAGAAAUCGGGCGAUGGAGCUAGCGCUUCUUACAGUUCGUUUAUAAAUCCAAGAUUAAGAGAUUUCCGCUGCCGGGGUUCGAACCCGGAUUCCAAGACCAUCAGGAAUUACCAAGUGCUACAGCGGAUUGUUGAUGCAAAGUGCUUAAAAUUCUCUUAUACGGUCAUCCUCGUUUUGGGCUGACAAGUGACCUCAGCGUACAGAGUUUCUUAGAAAAAUCAUACCGAUUAGUAAUAAAAUGAAAGCCCUGCUUGCCAAGUGAAUAUUUUGAAUGUUUUAUAUGAGUUUUUUUUGAAUAUUUGUAUAAAAUUUUACUAUUUAUUAUAAUUAAUGUAACAUUUUUUUUAAAUUAUGUAAAAACUUUCCCUUUUUUUUUUUUUUCUUUUUCUUUUUCUUUCCUUUCCUUUCCUCUUCUUCCACCCUAUCUCACUAUUCUUCCUUCUCUCUCCCACCUCAUCACCACCCGCCAUCGCUAGCACCUCCAAUAGCAACCGACACCAAUAGUCCUCUUCUCUCUCUCUCCCACCCCUCUAUCACUUCCUUUCUCCCCUCUUCUCCUUCCCCCUGCGUGAUCCCCUCUUCUCCUUCCCCCUUUCUUCGCCACCCUCUCCCUCCCCCCAUGCAAUCUAGUUAUGCUACUAGAUUGUGUGGGGGAGAGAAAAAGUAGCAGAGGAGGAGGUAACGAGGGAGAAGAGAGGAGUGCAGGAGAGAGAGAGAGCGAGGGAGGGAAAAAAAAAGAUGAGUUUCAAUAAGCAGACUCGCGGGUGAUUUUUAAUUCAUUAGCAGCAAAUAGAUAGUGAACACGUGCCCAUAAGAAGAAAUCGGGUGAUGGAGCUAGCGCUGCUUACAGUUCGUUUAUAAACCCAAGAGGAAAAAGAUUUCCGCUGCCGGGGUUCGAACCCGGAUUCCAAUACCAUCAGGAAUUACCAAGUGCUACAGCGGAUUGUCGAUGCGAAGGGCAUAUAUUUUCUUAUAUAGUCAUCGUUGUUUUGGGCUGACAAGUGACCUAAAGGUCCAGAGUUUCUUAGAAAAAUCAUGCCGGUUAAUAAUAAAAGGAUUAAAAACAAAAAAGUCCCUGUGGUAUAUCUAAUAUACAGAUAAACCCCUCAUGGUUUCAAAACAUACAAAACGACACCUCAUGUUUUAAACUAAAUUAUAAACUAACAGAAUUCAUUAAAUUUAACGGAAUCCAGUAAAUUUAACGGAAAAUUUAAUAGAAUCCGGUAAAGUUACUGAACGGAAAAAACUCUCCUAUUGCUUCUCUUUCAAUCUUUUCCUUACUUUUUCUUAUGUGCUAGAAACUAGUGUGUCGAGUCUGUCCUGUGUGCCUGAAUUGUGUGUGUGUUUGAUGUGUGCUUUUCCAUGUGAGUUUGUGAAGUGAGUGACUUUGAGAGAAGGGGCCAAAUUCAUACACAUUGACAUGUUUAGAGGCUUAAAUACUACAUAAAAUAGAUAAGGGGUUGAAAACAUACAAAAAUCAAUAGUUUGAGAGCCGACUGGAUGAUUGAGUCUUCAUUUUUUUUGGUAUGUCAUAUACGCUGACUUGUUUAAGGGUCUAAUUAUUACAUAAAAUAUAUGAGGGGCAAAAUACGUAUAAAAGCAAUAGUUUGAUGACUGAUUGGUGAUUUACUCAAUUUUCUUAUAUAGUCAUUCUCAUUUUGGCCUAACAAGUUAGCCCAAGGUCCAAAGUUACUUAGAAAAAGCAUACGGGUUAAUAAUAAACGAAAUGUUAUACAUGUACCCUAAUGAAAAUUUUAAGUAAAUUUUUUAUAUUGUCAAUGUAAAAUUUUUUUAUAGUAACAGGUUUAAAUUAUGUCACAUAACAUGAAUUCAAAUUUAAAAUUUAAAUCAUACAAGUGUGACAUACAUUCAUAACUACUAGUGUAAAAAAAUUACUGUAUUGUUAAUACAUAAAAAGUUAAUCCAAAAAUUUUACUCUAAUGAGCUUCUUGAGUCUACACAGGUAACAUGUAAGAUACAUUUUACCCUAAUGAAGAAUUUUAUUAUCAUUCCCAAGUGAGAUAGUAUAAUACGGAAAAAGUUUAUAAUGUAUCUUAUACAUUUAAUGAAAAGGUAGGAAUAUUUUCCCUGGUAUUUUCAAAAUGACGUACCACUGAAGUUCCCCCUUCCCAUGGUCCAUAGAGCCUUUCAUGUACUGGCUUCCCAUAGCAAAGGUAUUUCCAUUUGUAUUCAAAAGGGUCAUUGGUCCAAAGUAAACCAGAUUUUCCUCCCUUGUUGAGAAUAUAUUAAAGAAGAAGAAAGAACAGGAUGGAUACAAUUACAUGAUUAAACAAUAGCGCAUGGAAACUGUUGAUGGAUUGCCAAUGCUGUUAUGCAAUUUUACAUAUUGCACAUCUAUUUCUUAUCAUUGACGUGUGACCUUUAAUAAACUCUACAACAGAUUAUGAUCUAUUUGAAGAGAAAUGAGCAAUAACAAAGCAAGGCAAAACGCUGAGAAGCUGAGGAAAAUUCAAGCCC